UGCAUAUCAAUAAGCGGAGGAAAAGAAACCAACAGGGAUUGCCUCAGUAACGGCGAGUGAAGCGGCAACAGCUCAAAUUUGAAAGCUAGCCUUCGGGUUCGCAUUGUAAUUUGUAGAGGAUGCUUUGGGUAAAACGCCAGUCUAAGUUCCUUGGAACAGGACGUCAUAGAGGGUGAGAAUCCCGUAUGUGACUGGAAAUGUUAACCUAUGUAAAGCUCCUUCGACGAGUCGAGUUGUUUGGGAAUGCAGCUCUAAAUGGGAGGUAAAUUUCUUCUAAAGCUAAAUAUUGGCGAGAGACCGAUAGCGCACAAGUAGAGUGAUCGAAAGAUGAAAAGCACUUUGGAAAGAGAGUUAAAAAGCACGUGAAAUUGUUGAAAGGGAAGCGCUUGCAAUCAGACUUGUUUAAACUGUUCGGCCGGUCUUCUGACCGGUUUACUCAGUUUGGACAGGCCAGCAUCAGUUUCGGCGGCCGGAUAAAGGCUCUGGGAAUGUGGCCUCCACUUCGGUGGAGGUGUUAUAGCCCAGUGUGUAAUACGGCCAGCCGGGACUGAGGUCC
rnacentral:rRNA from 2 species